UGUGUUCCGCGGCCCAACCCCUCUAGUCACGCAACGCGGUGUGAGCACACACUUUCCGUAACCGCUCAGCCCUGUUCACACAAGAGCGCUAUCAAGUACCUGCAUCUUUACAGGAUCGCGUGCACUUCAGGUGUUUUGGGAAUUCAGGUGUGAGUGUGGGAGGGAAAACCCGGCGCGGGUUUUUCCAUUGACUGCAUCCGAAACAUCUGGCAGUUUUGAUUCCCAAGCUUUUUUUUUGCUGCGUCUUGGAAGUGCAUCAACUCAGGGAGCCAACCUGAACAUCGGAACAAUGGUAAUGAUAAGUAUAUAACGAUGUUUGAACAAAACGUUUUUGUGGGUUGGCUUCUCGUUGAUUGCCCCUUUUUACGCACGCUUCCCACACUCACCCGGUCCAUUCUGUGUACAGUUCCACUACUCUUCUUAGCCAAGCCGAGUUUUUGCGUGCUAGUAAUUUAAAAUGCUCAAAAAUAACAGCAUGCCUGCUGGCAGGGAGACUUUAAAGUGAUGUAAGACUGCCAGCAGAGCGUUCAGUCAGAGAAGGGCCUGUUCUUGGAUGUAGCCAGUAGUGUUACUGCCAAGUUCUGUUAAUUUGAUUUAAGAGAGAACAUGAGAAUACAGAAAAAUAGGUGAACAAGUCCAUGUAACCGACUUACAUUAAAACAGUAUGCGUUUUAUGCAAGUUGGGAACAGCUGGAGUCACACGUUUGUUUGUGGGUGGGGACUACAUAUCCCAUCGGCCACUGCCCAAAUUCUUUGGGUUAGCAGCUCUCAGCAUGGCUCAGUUAUGUGCUGGCUUUUACCGCGUGAUAAGCGACUAUUUGGAAAUGCAAAGAUGCGUGAGAAACUAGUGCGCGGCUGCACUGCAAACCGCUGGAUCGCGCUACAGUCGAACAAGGCAACGCCAAGAACAGACUGACUACGCGAGAACAUUUCAUCCAAAUCUGGAUUUAUUCUGUUUUUAAGUGAAUUUUAUAAAUUAAGCUGUUUUCGCAGUCAUGUGCUCUUUGGUUCAUUGACUAUUGGAUCUCAUGGGAUAGCCUAUGGCUUGUCCCACGGGUCAGAUGUGCGUGCGUGGUGGAGAGCUUUGCAUGGAGUUGUGUUCAGUUGAGGAUUAUUUGACUUGUGCGUGGGGUUCUUCGUUUAGAUUUUGACAUCCAUAUAUUUUUACGCAUCAUGCUUAUGGAUAUUAAUAUCCCGUGUCAUAUCCAUAGUCUACAGUUGCCCAGGAGUUGGGCUUUCAGAACUCAUCACCAUCAGUCACACAGGUGGAUGUCACAUAACGGCCCUGUGCGUGAUGUAAGAAGAAACUGGAUUUUGGAUUGUAAAAUGUCACCUCUGGAUAAAAUGUGGCAAGAACAUAGUUUUGCAUUGGCCUUACAGGCGCGCAACAAAUGCCUUGGCGGGUCCGAAUGACCGGAGAAAAUGAAGACAACAGGGAAUUCUGGGUGUGAAGACAGGUGCCAAACGGUGACAACAUCUGAAAGGGAAUGUGUUUACCUCCAGAGGUGCAUAUGGGGUCACCGCCACCUCCUCGGUGACAAACAAGCUGCCAUGGCGAUGGCAAGCAAACAGGGCAGGCCAGCCAUGAUUUCAUCAUUUGGCACCAGAAGUGAGAUGAAGAAAUGGGUCUGAGGACAAGAACCCCAUCCCUCCGACUGAGCUGAAAGCUGAGUGGGAUAGUGAGCGUGCGCCCCUCCAAACCCGCGAGUUCUGAAGAGAGUAAGAUAGAACAUAUAGACUGAACGUCCCGGUUGAAAGGGAGCGAAAAUGAGAAAGAGUGACUCACGUUCUCCUCCCUGCUCAUCCAUCCCAUCCGUCGCACCAUCUGGUUUGUAUUUGUUUGGAUGUUUCUCCACCUCCAGCCUCUGGGUAGAACCAGCGCCAAGGCCCAGAUGGCUGCCGACCCAGCCGCACCAGCCCACCGCGGAGAGGGUACACUGGGUUGGAGAAUGCCUGGGCCUGCCUCUUGGCUGGGGUAUGGAUGGUGGGGAAGGGAAGGGCGGACUUGGCUGGUGAUGGGACUCGGAUGGACCGCACUCCGGCGAUGAUGCGAACAUCCAUCGAUCAUCCGUCGCAUUGGUUGAUAGUUUAUCCCCUCUGCGCUGAGGACGGGAACCCAGUUGUGUUGAAGGGGGUGUUGGGGCGCAUUGAGGCGUGCUCAGUUGACAGUCGGAGACGUCAGAGAGGACGUCACACAGUGGGCUGGCCGGUGCCAGGACUGACAGACUGGCCAGACGUCUGUGAGAUCAGUUUCUGAGUCUGGCAUCUCAUAGGACUGGCUCGUAACUGGUAGACUCAGCGUGUCAGCUGGGACGAGAAACUAUUUCAGACCCAAAAUCUGAAUACCAUGUCUAAAUGUAGUGGUUUUUAGUUAUAUGUUUUUUAUUAUUAUUAUUUGACCAGGGAAGACAUAUACAGUACAAAUAUACGCAUUAUACACGAUAUAUACAUAUAAACACAUUAUAUUAUGCUGUAUGGAGAACAUGAUUUGUUUUUGCAGCCCCAGCUUUAUUGCCUUUGUUCUGUUUAUUCCUCGUCUUGUCUAAAUAAAAGAGGCCUAAGCAGAACCCUA